GAUGAACGCUGGCGGCGUGCCUAAUACAUGCAAGUCGAGCGAACGGACGAGAAGCUUGCUUCUCUGAUGUUAGCGGCGGACGGGUGAGUAACACGUGGAUAACCUACCUAUAAGACUGGGAUAACUUCGGGAAACCGGAGCUAAUACCGGAUAAUAUUUUGAACCGCAUGGUUCAAAAGUGAAAGACGGUCUUGCUGUCACUUAUAGAUGGAUCCGCGCUGCAUUAGCUAGUUGGUAAGGUAACGGCUUACCAAGGCAACGAUGCAUAGCCGACCUGAGAGGGUGAUCGGCCACACUGGAACUGAGACACGGUCCAGACUCCUACGGGAGGCAGCAGUAGGGAAUCUUCCGCAAUGGGCGAAAGCCUGACGGAGCAACGCCGCGUGAGUGAUGAAGGUCUUCGGAUCGUAAAACUCUGUUAUUAGGGAAGAACAUAUGUGUAAGUAACUGUGCACAUCUUGACGGUACCUAAUCAGAAAGCCACGGCUAACUACGUGCCAGCAGCCGCGGUAAUACGUAGGUGGCAAGCGUUAUCCGGAAUUAUUGGGCGUAAAGCGCGCGUAGGCGGUUUUUUAAGUCUGAUGUGAAAGCCCACGGCUCAACCGUGGAGGGUCAUUGGAAACUGGAAAACUUGAGUGCAGAAGAGGAAAGUGGAAUUCCAUGUGUAGCGGUGAAAUGCGCAGAGAUAUGGAGGAACACCAGUGGCGAAGGCGACUUUCUGGUCUGUAACUGACGCUGAUGUGCGAAAGCGUGGGGAUCAAACAGGAUUAGAUACCCUGGUAGUCCACGCCGUAAACGAUGAGUGCUAAGUGUUAGGGGGUUUCCGCCCCUUAGUGCUGCAGCUAACGCAUUAAGCACUCCGCCUGGGGAGUACGACCGCAAGGUUGAGACUCAAAGGAAUUGACGGGGACCCGCACAAGCGGUGGAGCAUGUGGUUUAAUUCGAAGCAACGCGAAGAACCUUACCAAAUCUUGACAUCCUUUGACAACUCUAGAGAUAGAGCCUUCCCCUUCGGGGGACAAAGUGACAGGUGGUGCAUGGUUGUCGUCAGCUCGUGUCGUGAGAUGUUGGGUUAAGUCCCGCAACGAGCGCAACCCUUAAGCUUAGUUGCCAUCAUUAAGUUGGGCACUCUAAGUUGACUGCCGGUGACAAACCGGAGGAAGGUGGGGAUGACGUCAAAUCAUCAUGCCCCUUAUGAUUUGGGCUACACACGUGCUACAAUGGACAAUACAAAGGGCAGCGAAACCGCGAGGUCAAGCAAAUCCCAUAAAGUUGUUCUCAGUUCGGAUUGUAGUCUGCAACUCGACUACAUGAAGCUGGAAUCGCUAGUAAUCGUAGAUCAGCAUGCUACGGUGAAUACGUUCCCGGGUCU
rnacentral:rRNA from 1 species